rnacentral:rRNA from 1 species
CCUACGGGAGGCAGCAGUGAGGAAUAUUGGUCAAUGGACGAGAGUCUGAACCAGCCAAGUAGCGUGAAGGAUGACUGCCCUAUGGGUUGUAAACUUCUUUUAUAUGGGAAUAAAAUGUUCCACGUGUGGGAUUUUGUAUGUACCAUAUGAAUAAGGAUCGGCUAACUCCGUGCCAGCAGCCGCUGUAAUACGGAGGAUCCGAGCGUUAUCCGGAUUUAUUGGGUUUAAAGGGAGCGUAGGUGGAUUGUUAAGUCAGUUGUGAAAGUUUGCGGCUCAACCGUAAAAUUGCAGUUGAAACUGGCAGUCUUGAGUACAGUAGAGGUGGGCGGAAUUCGUGGUGUAGCGGUGAAAUGCUUAGAUAUCACGAAGAACUCCGAUUGCGAAGGCAGUUCACUGGACUGCAACUGACACUGAGGCUCGAAAGUGUGGGUAUCAAACAGGAUUAGAUACCCGUGUAGUC